GGGCCCGUAGCUUAGUCCGGUCAGAGCACCCGGCUCAUAACCGGGCGGUCGCCGGUUCAAAUCCGGCCGGGCCCA
rnacentral:tRNA from 1 species